rnacentral:siRNA from 1 species
UACCAGAAUAGCAUUUUCUGCGCC